rnacentral:lncRNA from 1 species
UUGCAGUGGAGCUUGUUUCCAAUCCUUCCAUAAUAUUCAUGGAUGAACCUACUUCAGGGUUGGAUGCUAGAGCAGCAGCAAUUGUCAUGCGGGCGGUGAAGAAUGUUUCUGCAACAGGAAGAACAGUGGUCUGCACGAUCCACCAGCCAAGUAUUGAUGUUUUUGAGUCAUUUGACGAGGUAUCAAUAUAUACGUUGCUCCUAGAAUCUGGUAAUUUUAAAUCCAUGAUUCAAGAUGAAAAUGGCGGCAGUUAAUUUAAACAGUAGCCUAUCACAAGUAGCCUUUCUAAUUUUUUUUGCCCAAACGGUCCCGCCAUGAUUGGGAACAUGAACGUCAGAUAAAGUAUAUGGCCCUACUUGGCCAGUUAUCAAUUAGUGUUGAGUUAGAUAUCCCAAUACUUUAGAAUGGUUCCAGAGCACCUUGCUCUAUCUCUCUAUGGUGCAUACCCUAUUUAUAUUGCCUCCUUGCCCAAACAUUAAAGAGCAUGGCAAGAUGUGAGAGGAAAUGGUACAACAUCCCAACAAUGUUUAAAAACUUAUUUAGAGAAGGGGUCCAUCUCAACGAAAUUAGCAUAUGAAAAUUUUGACCUGAAUGACACCAUACUUAGAAUAGAAAAUUACAACUGAUAUGAAAAGUGGACCUCAAAAACCAUACAUAGGUUUCUCAUACUAAAUAGUGGAUGGGAUGGAGAACAGCAAGCCUAACUAAACGCAUGGUUCACUCUUCUUGCAGCUUAUCCUAAUGAAAAGAGGCGGGCAACUGAUCUACGCUGGACAAUUAGGACAGCAUUCAAGAAAAGUGAUUGAAUACUUUGAAGUAAGUUCAACUCAGCCAUUCUGAAUUCUUUAUCUGCAUCAACAAGAACAUAGAUAGGCUGGUGAUGUAAGGCUUUUAUGCACUGGCUUGUCCUUCGUGCUUAAAGUUUCACUUCCACUAAUCACAAAUAUAGGAUGGUGCCAUAACAGGUUGUAACAUACUUUCUACGAUGAUUACAAAUCCAGGCUUUCCUUAUAUACUAUUUUCUUUCUAGAAACAAUUUAAUUCUCAUGAAAGACAUUAAUAAAAGCUAAAACUGAAAAUUGUAGGAGAUUUACUUUAAAAUCCAGCUUCCUAUUUCGCAUGCUUAUAAAUAAUAUUUAAAAGAAAAAGAUUUGCAUGCCGUUGAAGCAAAGUUUCGUUGGCUAAGGUUUGUUAACUAUGGUGAUUGGGAAGAAAAGAGAACGAACAUUAGUCUAACAUGACUAAAAUUUAUGGGUGUUACUGUGAUGAAGAAAAGAACAAAGGAGAAAAAAAUCUGCUUUAUAAGUAUAUAUUCCAAAAUAGGUGACAAUCAUGUAAUAAGAAAACAAUCAGAUCAGUGACACUAUCAGCAUGAUUUGGAUGAACUAUGUAAUCCAGGAUACUAUUUAUCUAAUAGGUCGGAAAUCACUAUUCUCCAAAUGUCAGACAGUGGGUAGUCAAAAAAAAAAGGAGAAUAGUAUGAAAAUCAAAAGAGCAAGGACAUCUAAACUGAUAGGCUUUGACAGAUGAAACAAUGACACAUAGGUAAAGAUUCCAAGAGAAAACGAGAAGGAUCACAACAUAUAUGCAGCUUUAAAAAUCUGUGCUCUGACAUAUAAAAGCAAGAACAAUAAUAACUCCGACUGGAAUGGGAAAGCUGAGAAGAGCAAUGAAAUAUGGAUGUGUAUGGAAAAGAAUGCACAAUACUCUCUCUGAAUAUUUGUUGAUUAUAAAUUCUCACAGAAAAAAAUUGAAAUUUGGGGCUCCUGAAAACUACUGAUAAGUUGCCACAGGUACUUGGAUGCCGUAGAAAAUAAAUUAUCCGCUAUUUAAAUAAAAGCAUAAUUUUCACUACGCAUCUGUGAGAACUGUCUGCCCACGGUUUUUAAUACGGAUGAUGCAUGACAGGUUAAAUGUCCUAAAAUUCAUGAAACAUAAGAGAGAAUGGAGGCAAUAUAAAAUGUCAUCUUUCAGUAUGAGCACUAAAUUUCUGAAGAAAACAUAGAACACCGUCUGAGUUGAAAAUUCAAUUUCAACCAUCUGAAACGCGUGAUUUCAUGAAUUACUAUUGAUAUCAUCGUUCAGAUAGGGUUUAAUUUUUCGGAUUUUAUGUACGCAACUUUGUCCUUGCCAUUAUCUGUUCGAUAUUCAUCCCACCUGGCAUCUCUUAACACAUAUCCUCAUGGUAUUUCAUACAACAGGGUAUUUCAGGUGUGCCAAAGAUUAGAGACAAUUACAAUCCAGCAACAUGGAUGCUCGAAGUUACGUCAACAACUAUGGAGAUGAAACUUGGCAUAGACUUUUCACAGCUCUACAAAGAAUCGCCCAUAUACAAGUUAGAAAAAAAUUCCGGUCCAUAUAUACCAGUCAAUUAUUUUGUAUGUGCUUGAUACGAUAAAAUCAAAUAAUUUAUCUAGUAACGUUGAUGCCAAUAGAAAUAAACCGUAAGUCAAAAAGCCUCAAGGCCAAGCCUUAAAAAAUUGGCUAGGUUACGAUGGUUAUAAUUGAUAAUCUGAACCCUUCAAGGAUCAGCUGAACUCAAAACUAAGACUGGUCCUCUGCCAGAGCCAAUUCCCAUAAAUCGAAAGUCUAGGUGUCCCCUACUUCACUGAUACUAUUUCUUUUGAUGCUGCUGCUAACAGUUGUGGAAGGUACACCUUAGGAACGGAAAAGGACCUGCUACCUUGAACCUAGUAUUUUUCUGUUUAUACGACGGUUAUAAAGAGAUCACUGGCAGAAAGGGGAAUUAGCUCAGUCUACAGAGAUGAUUGUUGGGUGACAGUUGUCCUGAAAUAAUUUACUCCGAAGAUCUAUGAGAAACGAAACCACACUUGUGCCAAUUAUGAAAAAAUAUUCUCAAGUUGACUUGCAAGCUAGUAUUUUUGGAGUGCAACAGGCAAGUUCAGCACAUGUAAAUAACGUUUGAUUUUGUGCAGGAACAACUUAGACAUUGUUCAGCAACAUAGCACACCUCCACAGGGUUCUACGGAAUUGUACUUUCCAACAAUUUUCUCACAAAAUUUUUGGGGCCAAUUCAGAGCUUGCUUCUGGAAGCAAUGCUUAUCCUACUGGAGAAGCCCUCAAUACAACUGGGUGCGCCUAAUAUUCGUAGUUAUCUUAUCAGUAAUACUGGCAGCAGUUUUCUGGCAGAGUGGGAGAACAUUGUAAGUACUAAAUAAUUCUGCAUUUGAGCACAUUUCUGUUGAUAAAUUCAAUGAAAAGAAUAUAUACUGUGACAGCAGAGAAAAACGAAACUGAAACUCAAAUGUUUGUAUGUACAAUAGUAUCAUGAAUGCAGUAUUUAAUUCUUAGUGCAAUAAAUCCUAGGAAGGAUAAGAAUUACGCAGGGAUGAUUAAUUGAGCAUACCUUAAAGCAAUGAGAAGCAUUCUGUGAUCUUAAGCAUGCAGGGAUCCAACAAGAUAAUUGUCUGCGAAGAUCAAUAAAAUUACAUUAAAAUACUUUUACUCUCUGAUUUGAAAUCUUAGCAUCUUAUGCAUGAAAAAUAGAAAUAAAAGGCAAAAAUCAGAUUGCACUUCACGAAACCCAAUCCAAGAAUUCAUCAUCCAAAUUAUCAUUUAUACAGCUCAUGUUUGCAUUUAAAUUCCUGAUGUCAUGACUAAUACUUAAAAAUUUUUUUUGUGAAGAAACAACCAACAGGAUUUGUUCAACAUGCUUGGAUCAAUGUACCUUGCUGUGAUCUUUUUGGGAAUAAGAAACUGUUCAUCAGUUCUGCCAUUCAUAGCAAUUGAGCGAGAUGUCCUGUAUCGGGAAACAUUUGCAGGAAUGUACUCUUCAUGGGCAUAUGCCUUUGCACAGGUGCACCCACCUUUAAGAUAUAAAAUUUUCUCUCUUUGGGUUAUCCAUUGAAGACCACUGAUCCUUUCCUCGUAUCUUAACUACUACACUUCUCUUUUCAGAUGGCCAUUGAGAUCCCCUAUGUAUUUGUCCAAGCAGUACUGUUUAUGGGCAUUGCAUACCCAGGAAUUGGAUUCUACUGGUCUUCCUACAAAUUCUUUUGGUUCUUCUACACAAUGAUCUGCACACUACUUUACUUUAAUUAUCUGGGGAUGUUUCUUGUGUCAUUGACACCAAAUCUUCAAGUGACAUCUGUUCUAACAUCUCCAUUCUAUUCAAUGAUGCAUCUCUUCUCAGGUUUCAUUGUGCCUGGACCAGUAAGUGCUCCAUAAAAAAUUUAUAUUACCGUACUUUUCUGCUUCUACAUCUCAUUUUGUGAGACCCAAAGCUUCAUAUUCUUGGAAUCAGAUUGUGAGAUUACAUCACAUGUAAAGACUAAAGAAUUAUAAUGAUUUUAAGAGGAUACAGAAAGUGGAAAAUCUUUAAUAUGUUCUGUAUAAUAUCCAAGAGAGAAAGAAACCUAUCAAAUGAAACAGUUUUCAGAGAAAAUAAACGAAAUCUAAGAAUUAAUGAAAAAAAAUCAAAAUAAAUAUAUUUCUUCAUUCAAGUUUCAUUGUAUUACGAACUAUUAAUUUGACUCAUUCUUGUUACUAUCCUGCAGAAAAUUCCAAAGUGGUGGAUUUGGUUCUAUCACAUCGUCCCAACAUCCUGGACUCUCAAGGGACUCUUCAUUUCACAAUAUGGGGACAUAGACAAGGAGAUUACAGUGUUUGGAGAAUCAACAUCGAUUGCGUCCUUUAUAGAUGAUUACUAUGGUUUCCACCAAAACCAGCUGCCUCUUGUGGCUGUUCUCCUAAUUCUUUACCCUCUUAUCAUCGGUUCUCUGUUCUCGGUUUGUAUAGGGAGGGUAAAUUUCCAGAGGAGGUGAUUGGACACAGGAAGAGUUGCACACACAUCAUGUAUACUUCUAAUUCGUAGGAAAAUAUUCAUGAAUAUUCCACAACAGACUACUACAGAAAUGAAGACUAGCAUCAGAUGUUACCCAUCAGAGUCCCUAAAGGGCUAGUCCAAAUAAGGUGUGCCUGCGGCUGGACUUUCCCUGAGGUUGAUGCACUCUCACUUCCAACAAUCUCACUGAUAACUUCCUCCUGUUUAUCCGAUUGUACCAGAAGAAAAGUUAGAGUGUAUGAUAAACCUUGAGCUUUAAAAUUGAGUUUAGCAGCACUUUGCAUAGCUCAGAUCAUUUUUUCCUGAUUUUAAAGAGAAAAAGAGAAAACUUGAUUCGUAUCAGUACAGCUGUGAAAAAAAUGGGGCGAAUUCUGCAACCCAGUACGGCCUGGGCCAGAAAGAAAAGUAUGAGCUUUCCCAGUGCAUAUUUGUCGAGUUAAGGAUACAUGCAAACAUACAUGACGCAUGUACAUCCAUAUAUAUAUAUGCAUACACACACAGAUAUAUAUAUAUAUAAAUAUAUAUAAUAGAGAGAGAGAGUCCAUUCAGAUAUAUAAGAAGAAAACCAAGUGAAGAACUAGCAAGGAAAAGACAGUUUCUAGUGACUGCAGAUGAAUUCUGAGUUGGCAGAAGUUUUUAUCAAUCAGCAGGACAUUUAGCUUGCAUAAAAAACUAAAAACACUAUUAAAUUAUAGAGGAAUUAGAAUCCCUACAAAUCAGAUUGGCGACUGAUGUGCAUGCUGGCGGAUUGAGCAUGAAUAGAUUCUCAGUACAGCUGCAUCUGACAUGACCAAACAGACACACAAAUCUUCCACUUUACAAGAACCAUCUAUAAGCCAACAGGCUAUGCUUUUCAAGCAGAUCUAGCUAUAACAUGAACAACCUUUGAAAUUAGUGAAUAUGGUUGACUCACACUUCAUGCUUGACUACAACACAAAUGGCUGCAAGGACGAGGUAGAGGAUAAUGGUGUGGUAUCCUUGAAUAGGGAGAGGGAUGAAUGGCUGUACAAUAAUUCAGGACUAGUCCUAACAUUAACGCUCCUGAAUACUUAAGUGAACACAUGAGCAGACUAGGAUCUCUUUAUAGAAAUGUUUCUGCAAAUGGUACGCUCUAAUAAUCAAGCACUGUGAACGAAUUAUCAUCCCAGAGAAGACACAUGAUUUACAAGAGUUAGACUAAGAGGAGAAAACCUAAAAAAGAAAUUUAUCAAUGGAAACGUCUUCAAGAAUGGUAUCUUUUAACGAUAAAAAAUUAUCAACAGAUGACAACGCAUAUAAGAGGAGGGACAUGAUUUACACCGUUGCAAAUCAUGUGAGAUGUAAAUUAGAAAAGAAAACCUAUUUAUAGAAGUGUCUCCAAGAAUGGCAAUUUCAAACAUUCCAUAAUUAUGAAAUUACGUCCAUGAGAGAAGUUACAUGAUUUAGACUACCGAUACUUCAGGAAUAUGCCACCCAAGAUAUUUCCAAGAGCAAAUAUAAUGAAAAAAUAUCACACCCAUGAGAGAGGCAUAAUUUACAUUGUGUCUCGUGAGUGUUAUGCAGAACAAGUCUUCCAUAUCAUCAGGAUUUCCAUUUAUUUUUCUUUUCCUAUUUUAUUUUUAGAUGUAUUUUCUCUUUUUCGUGUUUCUGUUAUUAACCUUUCUGUAAAUACCGGAAAGGUUGUUAGAUGCCAAUAUAAAUAUUACUGCCCUGAGAAGGGUUAGGUCAGUUUUUCUUUUCUUGAAGCAUGGUAUCAGAGCUUUCUCUCUGAUCCUACAAGAAGACUGCCGACGGAAGAUCAACCAACCUAUGUCAAGGCAGUAUGACCACGUGAUUUUCUUUCUAUCUGCAGUACCUGAAACGUGAGGUUUCUUGGUCGUACGCAGACCGGCGGAUUCCUUGGAGAGUCAUACGUCAUCAUCGUUUUUAGAAGGUGGCAAGACAACUGCGAAUACAACAUUGUCAUUUUUCUGACAGUGGCAGACGUCUGUGAGUACACCAUUCUCAUUUCUUGAGGGUGGCAGUCAUUCUUAGUUUCUUGAACAGGAACUGUUAUUCGUACCACAUCAAGGAAUCUCUAUUUGAGAUUUUUUUCUUUGGCUAUUAUAGAACAUGGAGACAAAGGCCAGUGAAUCUUCCUCCUCUGGCCCAAGACAAUCAUUCGAAGUAAUUAAGGUAUGUUUAGACCUACCUAGAAUUGCUGAGAGAUUCUGAUUUGAUGGAAUCAAUUUGCUGCAAUAGACAUCGUAUGUGGAACUUAUUCUACGUGGGAGAAAUCUGGAUCAUCACUUGAUGCAAUCCUCACCAAGUAUUGACAACCCAGGAUAUUCUCGGUGGAAAGAAGAAGUACUUAUUCAAUAUUGGAUGCUGGACAAUAUUUCAUCAAAGAUAAGUGAUAGAUUUCUUUUUCUGAAAUUUGUGAGGGAAUUAUGAGACAAAAUUCGUCGCGGUCACUCUACUAAACAUGACGAAUCCCAAAUUUAUAGAUUGGUACAGAAAUCUCUAACUUUGGUAUAAGGAACAUUGACUGUUUUGGAAUAUGCUUGUGAAUUAGAAUCCAUAUGGAGAGAAAUCGACCACUACAGACCAAUCAAGAACCUUGAUGCUAAAGAAAGAAAUUACAUCAUGAAAGACAGGUUGUAUAAGUUUCUGAUGAGACUAAAUCUAGAGUAUGAGACUCUAGUAAAUCAGAUCCUUGCUCGAGAAGUAGUACCAGACAUUGAAGAAGCAAUUGCAUUAGCCAGACAAGAAGAAAAUACUAGAAGUUUGAGAAAUGAUUUAAAGAUAGAAAAUGUUGCGUUCAGUGCUCUCAAGAGUAAAGAUAACUCUAGAUUUAAAAAGGGGAAUGAGAAAGUACCAUUCAUCAAAAGAGAUCCCAAGACUGAUCCAAAGGCACACCUAUUCUGCACGUAUUGUCAGAAAAAUCGUCAUACUAGGGAAACAUGUUGGAAGAUCCAUGGCAAACUACCGAGCUAUGGUAAGUUGCAUUUGGCUAAUGCUCAAAAUGAAGAUGGUGUUAUCCCAAUGAUACAAGGAGGAAUUAGUCAAGAUGGAUUGACUUCCUCUCAGCCUUCAGAUAUUGGAAAACUUAGAGAAGAAAUUGAACAGCUGAGAAGCAUGAUCAGCUCCACUUCUCUCACACAUGCUAGUAAGCAUUUUCCUAAAUGUUUUCUAUUAUACUUAAAUACAUCAUCAUUAGCAUCACCAUCACCCUUGAAAGUAUCUUGGAUUAUUGAUUCUGGAGCUACUGAUCAUAUGACAUCAUACGCAUCACUAUUUAUAACAUAUGAGGUAUGUAUCAAUAAUUGAAAGGUUAUUACUGCAAGUGGAGAUUUAUUACCUGUAAUUGGCAUUGGAUCAAUUCAUCUUGAGAAAUUGGGGUUAUUAAGAUAUGUUCUUCAUGUACCAAGAUUGAAUACACAUCUAUUGUCAUUGAGAAAAUUGGGCAAAGACUUGAAUUGUGUAAUAUUAUUUGACAAUGAUUUAUGUUUCUUCUAUGGCAAGACCUCGGGCAAGAGGAUUGAGCAUGUUAGAGCAUAGGAUGGACUCUACUACACAAGGCGUAUGGACAGGCCAUUGUUGACGAAUUCUAGUUCAAAUAUUUCAACUUUUGUGUCUGCUUCUCCCUUGAACAAAUUGUUGUUGUUGCAUUGUCGUUUAGGACAUCCGUCCAUAAAAGUACUUUGAUACUUGUUUCCAAGAUUAUGUCGUGCAAUUGGUGAAUCUACUUUCGUAUGUGAACCCUAUCAAAUGGCUAAACAGCGACGUAUUUCAUUUCCCUCCUCUGGAAAUAAAAGUGAAUCCCCUUUUUACAGAAUACAUUCUGAUAUAUGGGGUCCUUCUUCAUCUGGUGGUAUUAAGGACUUCAGAUGGUUUAUCAUCUUUAUAGAUGAUUAUACUAUAUUCACAUGGAUUUACUUAAUGAAAACAAAAUUAGAAGCCAGCAAUGUUAUUCCAAGGUUUAUCAAGCUAAUUCAAAAUCAGUUCAGUAUAACCCCGAAGAGAUUUCGACCAGAUAAUGUUAAAGGUUUCUUCAAUUCUACUGUAUCUAAUUUCUUUACUAAGAAAGGUAUUGUUCAUGAAUCUUCUUGCCCAUAUACACCCCAGCAAAAUGGGGUAGCAGAAAGAAAGAUUGGGCAACUGCUGAGAAUAACAGGGGCUAUCAUGUUUAAAGCCUAAGUGCCGAAGUACUUAUGGAGUGAGGCAGUACUAAUUGCCACUCAUCUUGUUAAUCGUCUCCCAUUAGAAGCGCUAUUAUUUAAGACCCCCAAAGCCUUACUACAAGGCCAUUAUCUAACUGUGUAAUAUGGACUAGAUUUACCUCUUCGAGUGUUUGGGAGUAUUGCAUACAUCCACCAAUCUCAUAAUAGAUUGUCUAGGUUUGCUCCAAGAGUCAUAAAGGCUGUUUUUGUGGGCUAUUCCAAUACACAAAAAAGGUAUAAAUUUUAUGACCCAAGAUCUAGAAAAAUUAUUGUGACGAUUAAUGUCACAUUUGAUGAAAAUAAUAUGUAUUUUCAGCAGACAACAGCUCAAGAAUCUAGUUGUGGUAUUCCUAUGCUAGAAAAACAUGAUUUACAUAUUGAUAUUCUCAAGGAAAAUGAAGCUCCUAAAACAAUAUCAGCACCUCCACCACAUAUUGAGAUUAUCAAGGAGAAUGAAGAUCCUAAAACAAUAUCAGCACCGCCACUUACACCUCCCAAUCGAUUUGGUCGAAAUUAUUAUCAAAAAAAGUCAAAGACAACUAGAGGGAACCAUAAACAGGAUCUACAUGAUGCAGUAGAUGCCCAUGAUUCUACUAUUGAAUGUGACAAAUCAUUGAUUGACCAACAAUAUGAACAUGAUGUACUUGAUGUAGCAAAUGCCCAUGAACAGGAUCAACAAAACCUUCUUAUUACUCAAGGAGAUGAAAUCUGCCCUAUUGCUCUUCACAAAGGAGCUAGAGAAUGUACAAAGAAGAAGGUAUAUCCAUCAUGUAAUUAUGUGUCAUAUCAUUGUCUAUCUCCACAAUACAAGUCAUUUAUGUCAGCUAUUGAUAAACAUGAUAUCCCUCAAAAUAUUGAUGAAGCUUUAAGAAGCCUCCUAUGGAAAAAGGCAAUAGAUGAUGAGAUGUUAGUUUUUAUAGAAAAAUCAAACUUGGGAACUCAUGUUGCUUUCUAAAGGGAAGAAAACAGUGGGUUGUAAAUGGAUAUAUACUAUUAAGUAUAAAUCCGAUGGGACUGCCGAGCAUUUUAAAGCUCAGUUGGUGGCAAAAGGCUUCACCCAAUGUUAUGGUAUUGAUUAUAUGGAAACUUUUGCCCCAGUUGCGAAGAUGGGAACAGUUUGGAUAUUAAUAUCAUUAGCUGUGCAUUAUGGAUGGUCUUUGUUACAAUUUGAUGUGAAAAAUACAUUCUUGCAUGGAGAAAUCUCAGAAAAAAUAUAUAUGGAUCUCCCACCAAGGUACAAAAACCCAAAUGAUACUCUAAAAGUAUGCAAACUUAAGAAAGCAUUAUAUGGAUUAAAACAGUCACCAAGAGUUUGGUUUGGCCGCUUAACUAAAACAAUGCGAGCAUUGGGGUUCAAAUAAGCCAAUGGAGAUCAUACCUUAUUUUAUGAACGAUCAAGCUUAGGAAAAUGGCAAUCUUAUUAGUAUAUGUUGAUGACAUGAUUGUCACUAGAGAUGAUAUGUAAGAAAUCACUUCUCUUCAAAAACAAUUGACAGCUGUUUUUGAUAUCAAAGUGUUAGGACAACUAAAAUACUUCUUGGGAAUUGAGGUAGCCUACUCUCGUGAAAAUUUAUUUUUAUCUCAAAGAAAAUAUAUUACAGAUUUACUCAAACAUAUAGGCAUGAGUAACUGUAAACCAGCAAGUACACUAAUUGAAGCGAAGCGCUAUAUUAGGGCUUCAAAGGAGAGCGAUCAAAUAGACAAGGGAUCUUAUCAACGGCUAGUGGGAAAAUUAAUUUAUCUAUCCCAUACUAGACCAGAUAUUGCUUACUUAGUUGGAGUGCUCAGUCAAUAUAUGCAUGACCCUAGGGAAGUGUAUCAUCAAGCUACUCAACGAGUCUUAGCCUAUCUUAAAGGAACAAUUGGCAUGAGAAUCCUAUUUAAAAAAGAAGAUUCUCUUACAGUAGGCAUCUAUACUAAUGCUGAUUAUGCUGGUUCAAUUGAUGAUAGGCGCUCUACUAUUAGGUAUUAUUGUCUCAUUGGAGGAAAUUUGGUUACUUGGUGAAGCCAAAAAUAGAGAGUUGUAGCUCGUUCAAGUGCCGAAACAGAAUUUAGGGCUAUGGCUCUUGGGAUUUGUGAAGGCAUUUGGAUAAAGAGUAUACUAAAUGACUUACAAAUACCAAUAGAAGGUCCAAUUACCUUGUACUAUGACAAUCAGUUCGCAAUAAGUAUUGCGCAUGACCCUAUUCAGCAUAACAAGACCAAACACAUUGAAGUAGACAGACAUUUUAUUAAAGAGAAACUUGAAUCAAGAAUAUUUUGCACAAAGUAUGUCUCAUCUACAAGUCAAUUGGCUGAUAUAUUAACAAAGGGCAUUUCUGUAACAGAGUUCUGCAAACAAAGGAGCAAGCUGGGCAUGAAUGAUAUCCAUGCACCAGCUUGAGAGGGAGUGUUACGCAAAACAAGUCUUCCAUAUCAGGAUUUCCGUUUAUUUUUCUUUUCCUAUUUUAUUUUUAGAUGUAUUUUCUCUUUUUCAUGUUUCUGUUAUUAACCUUUCCAUAAAUACUGGAAAGGUUGUUAGACGCCAAUAUAAAUACUGGCGUACUGCCCUGAGAAGGUUUAGGUCAGUUUUUCUUUUCUUGCUUCCACUGUAUCUUGAAACAGUGAGCGACAUAAAACAAUGAAAGAAUUUUCAAUGAUUAAAAAUGCAGACGAUGCAAGACAAGCUAAACAAGGUGGUGAUCCAUUUCCCCUGUGGUUUCAGCAUGUGUGCUCGCCAUGAAUCAGCCCAGCCCGACAAGGGGGCACUUAGGCAGCUUCCGCCCUGCAUCCUCUGAAGUAGCCAUACUGUCAAGAAGGCACUGAUAGUUGAAUACAUGGCCACAGGGGGCACACGAGAACUCAUGUCCAACCUCAUAGUCGUCCCAACAUAUGGGGCGUUGCUCUUCUUCUUGGUACUUGCCUUCACCAGGCCCAUAAUUGACUGCCCUGAAUGCUGCCAUUACUUUCCCCAGUGAGUCCCGCCUGGUUACCAAGGCCCGGGCACAAGUUCCAGAGCUUGUUGGGUGCAGAAUAGCUCCAAGAGGUAAAAAGAGGAAUGCAUAGGAGCCUAUCAGCACAAGGAUAGAAAUUGUAAGUAGGCAAAGAAUCCCAGUGAUCUGCCAGCCGUUUAACUAUCCACUUAGGUAAGUGACCCAUUAAAUGAUAAGUGCCCAUCGGCCUUCCUGCAGCUGCAGAUCUCCCAUAUUACUGUAUGUGAAAUUCAUUUCCAUAAAAUAGAAAUGAAAGGUGGCUAUGGCAAGCUGCGCGGAAAACAACAGCAAGAGAAAAAGAUGGGAAUCGUAACCCAAGGGAAGGGAAGUUCAUAACUGUUAGCUUGUAGCAUUAUAAAAAGAUUGAGAGAGAGGCAUAGAGACACAGACAGAAAAAUAGAGAAAGGUUAUGCUGCCUAGCUUCACAGACUGUUCAUUUACUAAAUCAAGAAAAUGUUUAAAAUAAAGAGAGAGAGAGAGAGAGAGAGAGAGAGAGAGAGAGAGAGAGAGANNNNNNNNNNNNNNNNNNNNNNNNNNNNNNAGAGAGAGAGAGAGAAGCAAUUUACGUGAGCUCACAGAUCAAAUGUUGCAAUUAUUGAAGUUUAAAAAAAUAAAAAAAGAUUCGGGAUAUGUAAAGAACAAAUGGAUUAUUCAGUAACGUGUAAUUGCUGAGAAAGCAUGGAAGGAAGUGGCUAGACAUGAUUUGAUAAGGCUUUCCUUACAAUAUGACUUAAUACUCCACAGAAACUUGUGAAGAAAAUAUCUUACAUUAUCUUCUUUUUCCAUGUUACUCCUUAAAUCGAAGAUUUAUAUCAAUAUAUGCACUGCUCUCAGUAAAAUGUAUAGUUAUUUAAUCCAAAAGAAAUAAGUUUUAAAUUAUUCACUCAAUACGCAGGAAAAUUAGUUGAAAACUAUCCUUAUAGUCAUUAACAGUAAUGAAAUCAGUAUAAGAAUUGCUUAACAGCGCAUGUUCUGCAGAAGAAAACUGAACAGGACACUGAACAUAUGAAAUAGCCUUUCCCGUAGGGUAGUUUCACACUUGAAGCAAACCACUUGUAGACAAGAUAAAUAACCCUUCACAGGGAAUAAAAGAAAAUAUUUUUAAUUUCAGGAACAGAACUUUCUUAUGCUAGGAAGUUCAACAUGGGCUCGUCAUUUACCCAUUUUAUUUGGGUUAAUCUAUUUAAAAAGAAGCCAAAGCUACCUAUCGCCUUGAUAAGAAAAUUUAAAGAAGAAAGAUUCAAGAGGAUCCCAUGCACUGAAUAUUCAUAACUGGAGAUAUUUGGUGAGCCGAGACGGUGUGAAGAAGUAAAAACGAAAAGUGCUCCAUUGACUGAAACCCUGAAGCAAUUCACAACAAGAGAUCCUAUGCCACAUCGAUUUUCAAUCAAAUGAAACGAAUCUUACUUGGAAUAGACACAAGAAUUGAACCUGCCACGUCAAUUUAGCUUCUUAUCUUAUUAAACCUCAAUGCUUUCUGCUAUGGAGGGAUGAACCUUAAUGUCUCAUGAUGCAAAAAACUUUACUAAUAAUUACAAAGAUCAUCUUUCCUGAUAGGUCUGUUCUACAGUCCUUGUUAAUCCUGUCUGGUCGGCAAGCUAUAAUUCUACAAUGUAUCAUGAUCAUUAACAUCUUCAUCACUGCAGCUCAAAUAACCUGAAAUCCUCUGAGAAUCAUACGAUUUUCUGGAGCAUACUGGACGGACUUCAUUUAAAACAAGCAAUUAACAGUAACAGUUAAUGCUCUCGUAUCAGGAAGGGGACCAGAGAUGGGGGAGGAGCGAGAGAGAGAGAGAUGUUACAAAAGAAAAACUUUUCAGCAAGUAAAAUAAUUCGCCCACGGGGAAGAACAAGAAGGGAAAGAAUAAUCCACUCGGCCUCAAACAUCCACACAUAUUGGCGACCAAAAUAAAAGAAGACUCUCCGCAACCACGGACCUCCUCCAAGGGCUCCGCAAACAUCCUCCGAGGAUUCUGAUGGACUCGAGGCGUCGAAGAAGGCAAAGUAGAAAAUGAUGGGCCCAAUGAGAGAAGAAGCGCUCGAUGGCAAUAAAGCAAUCUCUCUGACGCGUGAGGCCAACCGAAAUAACGACCUCGCGAAGGUUCCAGAGCCUUCAGCCUGAGGGACAACCCACAGGAGGAGCCGAGCUAGAGUUUGUUGGGUGACAGAUCACAUCUCUCUCUCUCUCUCUCUCUCUCUCUCUCUCUCUCC